GACGAACGCUGGCGGCGUGCCUAAUACAUGCAAGUAGAACGCACAGUUUAUACCGUAGCUUGCUACACCAUAAACUGUGAGUUGCGAACGGGUGAGUAACGCGUAGGUAACCUGCCUGGUAGCGGGGGAUAACUAUUGGAAACGAUAGCUAAUACCGCAUAAUAUUAAUUAUUGCAUGAUAAUUGAUUGAAAGAUGCAAUUGCAUCACUACCAGAUGGACCUGCGUUGUAUUAGCUAGUAGGUGAGGUAACGGCUCACCUAGGCGACGAUACAUAGCCGACCUGAGAGGGUGAUCGGCCACACUGGGACUGAGACACGGCCCAGACUCCUACGGGAGGCAGCAGUAGGGAAUCUUCGGCAAUGGACGAAAGUCUGACCGAGCAACGCCGCGUGAGUGAAGAAGGUUUUCGGAUCGUAAAGCUCUGUUGUAAGAGAAGAACGGGUGUGAGAGUGGAAAGUUCACACUGUGACGGUAUCUUACCAGAAAGGGACGGCUAACUACG
rnacentral:rRNA from 1 species